rnacentral:rRNA from 1 species
UACGAAGGGGCUAGCGUUGCUCGGAAUCACUGGGCGUAAAGCGCACGUAGGCGGAUUGCUAAGUCAGGGUGAAAUCCUGGAGCUCAACUCCAGAACUGCCUUGAUACUGGCGGUCUCGAGUCCGGGAGAGGUGAGUGGAACUGCGAGUGUAGAGGUGAAAUUCGUAGAUAUUCGCAAGAACACCAGUGGCGAAGGCGGCUCACUGGCCCGGUACUGACGCUGAGGUGCGAAAGCGUGGGAGCAAACAGG